rnacentral:rRNA from 1 species
GAGUUUGAUCGUGGCUCAGGAUGAACGCUGGCGGCGUGCUUAACACAUGCAAGUCGAGCGAAGCGCUUUGACGGAUUUCUUCGGAUUGAAGUCUUAGUGACUGAGCGGCGGACGGGUGAGUAACGCGUGGGUAACCUGCCUCAUACAGGGGGAUAACAGUUGGAAACGACUGCUAAUACCGCAUAAGCGCACAGUACCGCAUGGUACGGUGUGAAAAACUCCGGUGGUAUGAGAUGGACCCCGCGUC